CCCGGUUGGCGCGUUGAAGUGAGGCGGGAAGGUGAAAGUGACUGACACACUGGCUGACAGCGCUCUCUAGCGUGUGCACACAUUUCACUCGAUGGGCAAAAGCAAGCACACAGUGGAAUGCCGGAGACUGUCAGCAGUUGAGGUGGAGCAACCGUACCGAUGACACAUUUGGCUGGACGGUUCAUGUUGCCAUGAUAAAAAUAAAGCACCGCUAAGGGGUAAACCAAAGCUGAAGCGGAAAGGAUGCCCCCCGAAUGCCCGUCCUCCAUUCCUCAGGCGCAAUCCGGCGGCGUUGGCGGGGGUUUUCCCCGAUUAAAACCCCAAAGACCCGUACCUUGAUCUCGGCAAACUCUCCCGCACGGGGUACGGGCGCCGACACAUGGCUGACAGGGAAAUGAUAACAAACAUUUUCCCUCGCUAACAUACACCCCCGGAUCCCUCCCGCUCCCUUGUUCUGUGUGACUUGGGGAUUUUGAGGAGGAAUGGGAUAUGCUUAUUUGCUUUCUCUCGUUCCUCCAAAAACAAAAGCAGCAGCAGCAGCGGCAAAAAAACACCCACGUCGCGCUUCAAUCCAUCCCGCGCCGGGGGGG